rnacentral:rRNA from 1 species
UUGCCAGCCCGCUCAAGAACUUAAAGGAAGUUGACGGGGGCCCGCACGAAGCGGUAGGAGCAUGUGGUUUAAUUCGAUGAUACGCGAGGAACCUUACCUGGGCUCAAAUGUAUGUUGACGUAUUCUGAAAGGGAUACUUCUUCGGACAAUAUACAAGGUGCUGCAUGGUUGUCGUCAGCUCGUGCCGUGAGGUGUCGGGUUAAGUCCCAUAACGAGCGCAACCCCUAUCAUUAGUUGCCAUCAGGUCAAGCUGGGGGACUCUAAUGAAACUGCCUACGCAAGUAGUGAGGAAGGUGGGGAUGACGUCAAAUCAGCACGGCCCUUACGUCCAGGGCUACACACGUGCUACAAUGGCCGGUACAAAGGGCAGCUACCUGGUGACAGGAUGCUAAUCUCAAAAGCCGGUCUCAGUUCGGAUCGGAGUCUGCAACCCGACUCCGUGAAGCUGGAAUCGCUAGUAAUCGCGCAUCAGCCAUGGCGCGGUGAAUACGUUCCCGGGCCUU